rnacentral:rRNA from 1 species
AGAGUUUGAUCAUGGCUCAGGACGAACGCUGGCGGCGUGCUUAACACAUGCAAGUCGAGCGGUAAGGCCCUUUCGGGGGUACACGAGCGGCGAACGGGUGAGUAACACGUGAGUAAUCUGCCCUCCACUUUGGGAUAAGCCUCGGAAACGGGGUCUAAUACCGGAUAUGAGCUUCCUACGCAUGUGGGUUGCUGGAAAGUUUUUCGGUGGGGGAUGUGCUCGCGGCCUAUCAGCUUGUUGGUGGGGUAAUGGCCUACCAAGGCUUCGACGGGUAGCCGGCCUGAGAGGGUGACCGGCCACACUGGGACUGAGACACGGCCCAGACUCCUACGGGAGGCAGCAGUGGGGAAUAUUGGACAAUGGGCGGAAGCCUGAUCCAGCAACGCCGCGUGAGGGAUGACGGCCUUCGGGUUGUAAACCUCUUUCACCUCCGACGAAGCGAAAGUGACGGUAGGGGGAGAAGAAGCACCGGCCAACUACGUGCCAGCAGCCGCGGUAAUACGUAGGGUGCGAGCGUUGUCCGGAAUUAUUGGGCGUAAAGGGCUCGUAGGCGGUUUGUCGCGUCGGGAGUGAAAACACCGGGCUUAACUCGGUGCUGGCUUCCGAUACGGGCAGACUAGAGGUAUUCAGGGGAGAACGGAAUUCCUGGUGUAGCGGUGAAAUGCGCAGAUAUCAGGAGGAACACCGGUGGCGAAGGCGGUUCUCUGGGAAUUACCUGACGCUGAGGAGCGAAAGUGUGGGGAGCGAACAGGAUUAGAUACCCCGGUAGUCC